ACUAUGUGCGAGAGGCAGGGCGAUGCGGCUGGCAGAUAGUGAGAGGGAUCAUCCAGUUGGAUGGCUUCAGGGACAUGGAAAUCACUAGACUUUUAGAAACCUUCUUCGAAGUGGCAGUGCUCGUGAAGUUCUUUACCUUUACCAAAGGCAUGGCUCUCCAGAGAGCACAGGCUCCUGCACAAGAACCAGCACUUCAUCAGGAGAGGCUGCAGGUACUAAGUGAUGUCCUUGGCUCAGUUUUGUUUCCAUGGUAACUGUAUGCCACUUUUCACUAGCACGUUUCAACAUUUUCAUAACAGAGUUAAAACUACAUACACAGAACACCUCAAAAAUAAACACAAACGCAGUCAAGUCAUCUUAAAAGAAUGUGAAAUCCAUGUGUAUGUGUUGGUGGCUGCAGAGGGGGUGUGCUCCUGCUCUCACAAGAACCCGGCUUUCUUCAUUUCCAAGAAAAGUGAAGACAGGUACAAUCUGAGGAGCUUCUGAACUUAUCUUGGGUAGCCGACUGGGCACAAGUUUCAGUGAACGUAUGUUUGGCAUCUGUGUUGUAUUUUUCAACUUACAAAACUUCUGUUAAAAACAAUGUUUAAUGCCAGACCUAUGGUUAACAGCCAAGCUCCCCUAAGUUAAGGCAUUUUUUGAAACCUUGCUCUGAAGUGACACCCUGUGGUAAACAAUGAUAAAGGCCAACAGUCUUUCCUGAGCAAGAACAGAAUCUACCAAAAGAUCCUCUGUGGUUUUUACAGCGCUUUCCCAAGAGCAUGAGAGCCCUUCAGGUGGACAGAGGGCAACACACUCCAGGCUGAUGGAAGACAGACGAUGAAGAUGUGAUUAAAACCCUAACCAAACUAUUUCUGCAUGAGCAAGCGGGGCACUGUCGAUACUCUCAGAAUCACAGCAGCCACUCCUUAUAAACCGCUCCGAACUUGCUGAUAUGCUCUGUACUGUAUACAUAGCUCACGUGACACAAAACACAAACCAACUGCUGAGAGAGGUAAUUCAGUGAAUAAACGGCAAAAGUUGGCUUUGAAAAAAAAAAAAAAAAAAAAAAAAAAAAA
rnacentral:lncRNA from 1 species